rnacentral:rRNA from 1 species
GGGUUGUGAGGUUAAGCGACUAAGCGUACACGGUGGAUGCCCUGGCAGUCAGAGGCGAUGAAGGGCGUGCUAAUCUGCGAUAAGCGCCGGUAAGGUGAUAUGAACCGUUAUAACCGGCGAUACCCGAAUGGGGAAACCCAGUGUGAUUCGUCACACUAUCAUUAACUGAAUCCAUAGGUUAAUGAGGCGAACCGGGGGAACUGAAACAUCUAAGUACCCCGAGGAAAAGAAAUCAACCGAGAUUCCCCCAGUAGCGGCGAGCGAACGGGGAGGAGCCCAGAGCCUGAAUCAGCAUGUGUGUUAGUGGAAGCGUCUGGAAAGGCGCGCGAUACAGGGUGACAGCCCCGUACACAAAAGCGCAUAUGCUGUGAGCUCGAUGAGUAGGGCGGGACACGUGGUAUCCUGUCUGAAUAUGGGGGGACCAUCCUCCAAGGCUAAAUACUCCUGACUGACCGAUAGUGAACCAGUACCGUGAGGGAAAGGCGAAAAGAACCCCGGCGAGGGGAGUGAAAAAGAACCUGAAACCGUGUACGUACAAGCAGUGGGAGCCCCACCACUAAGCCAGUGGUGAACUCCACAUACGCAUCCUUUGCUGAGGAGACGGUUAACGGAGCGAAAGCGACGUUCAACCUCAAAAGAAGCAGAGGGGGCUUAGUGGUGGGGUGACUGCGUACCUUUUGUAUAAUGGGUCAGCGACUUAUAUUCUGUAGCAAGGUUAACUGUAUAGGGGAGCCGGAGGGAAACCGAGUCU